GACGAACGCUGGCGGCGUGCUUAACACAUGCAAGUCGAACGGAAAGGCCUGCUUUCCCUUGUGGAUUGCGGGUACUCGAGUGGCGAACGGGUGAGUAACACGUGAGUGAUCUGCCCCCAACUUGGGUAUAAGCCUGGGAAACUGGGUCUAAUUCCCGAUAGGACUGCAGGGUGGUGCCUGUGGUGGAAAACGAUUUUCUAGUGGUUGGGGAUGAGCUCGCGGCCUAUCAGCUUGUUGGUGGGGUAAUGGCCUACCAAGGCGGCGACGGGUAGCCGGCCUGAGAGGGUGGACGGGCACAUUGGGACUGAGAUACGGCGCAGACUCCUACGGGAGGCAGCAGUGGGGAGUAUUGCACAAUGGGCGGAAGCCUGAUGCAGCGACGCCGCGUGGGGGAUGACGGCCUUCGGGUUGUAAACUCCUUUCGACAGCGAGGAAGCCACCUGGUUGGAAGGGUGGUGACGGUAGUGGUAGAAGAAGCACCGGCUAACUACGUG
rnacentral:rRNA from 1 species